rnacentral:rRNA from 1 species
AGUCGAGCGGUAAGGCCCUUCGGGGUACACGAGCGGCGAACGGGUGAGUAACACGUGGGUGAUCUACCUUGCACUUCGGGAUAAGCCUGGGAAACUGGGUCUAAUACCGGAUAUGACCUCUGAAUGCAUGUUCGGUGGUGGAAAGAUUUAUCGGUGCGAGAUGGGCCCGCGGCCUAUCAGCUUGUUGGUGAGGUAACGGCUCACCAAGGCGACGACGGGUAGCCGACCUGAGAGGGUGACCGGCCACACUGGGACUGAGACACGGCCCAGACUCCUACGGGAGGCAGCAGUGGGGAAUAUUGCACAAUGGGCGCAAGCCUGAUGCAGCGACGCCGCGUGCGGGAUGACGGCCUUCGGGUUGUAAACCGCUUUUGACAGGGACGAAGCGCAAGUGACUGUACCUGUAGAAUAAGGACCGGCCAACUACGUGCCAGCAGCCGCGGUAAUACGUAGGGUCCGAGCGUUGUCCGGAAUUACUGGGCGUAAAGAGCUUGUAGGCGGUUCGUCGCGUCGUUUGUGAAAACUUGGGGCUCAACCUUAAGCUUGCAGGCGAUACGGGCGGACUAGAGUACUUCAGGGGAGACUGGAAUUCCUGGUGUAGCGGUGAAAUGCGCAGAUAUCAGGAGGAACACCGGUGGCGAAGGCGGGUCUCUGGGAAGUAACUGACGCUGAGAAGCGAAAGCAUGGGUAGCAAACAGGAUUAGAUACCCUGGUAGUCCAUGCCGUAAACGGUGGGUACUAGGUGUGGGGCUCCUUCCACGGACUCCGUGCCGUAGCUAACGCAUUAAGUACCCCGCCUGGGGAGUACGGCCGCAAGGCUAAAACUCAAAGAAAUUGACGGGGGCCCGCACAAGCGGCGGAGCAUGUGGAUUAAUUCGAUGCAACGCGAAGAACCUUACCUGGGUUUGACAUACACCGGAAACCUGCAGAGAUGUAGGCCCCCUUGUGGUCGGUGUACAGGUGGUGCAUGGCUGUCGUCAGCUCGUGUCGUGAGAUGUUGGGUUAAGUCCCGCAACGAGCGCAACCCUUAUCUUAUGUUGCCAGCGCGUAAUGGCGGGGACUCGUGAGAGACUGCCGGGGUCAACUCGGAGGAAGGUGGGGACGACGUCAAGUCAUCAUGCCCCUUAUGUCCAGGGCUUCACACAUGCUACAAUGGCCGGUACAGAGGGCUGCGAUACCGCGAGGUGGAGCGAAUCCCUUAAAGCCGGUCUCAGUUCGGAUCGGGGUCUGCAACUCGACCCCGUGAAGUUGGAGUCGCUAGUAAUCGCAGAUCAGCAACGCUGCGGUGAAUACGUUCCCGGGCCUUGUACACACCGCCCGUCACGUCAUGAAAGUCGGUAACACCCGAAGCCGGUGGCCUAACCCUUGUGGAGGGA